AUUGAACGCUGGCGGCAUGCCUUACACAUGCAAGUCGAACGGAUUCAAGGGGCUUGCUCCUUGAGUUAGUGGCGAACGGGUGAGUAAAGCAUCGGAACGUACCCAGUCGUGGGGGAUAACGUAGCGAAAGUUACGCUAAUACCGCAUACGAUCUGAGGAUGAAAGCGGGGGACCUUCGGGCCUCGCGCGAUUGGAGCGGCCGAUGGCGGAUUAGCUAGUUGGUGAGGUAAGAGCUCACCAAGGCGACGAUCCGUAGCUGGUCGGAGAGGAUGGACAGCCACACGGAGACUGAGACACGGCCCAGACUCCUACGGGAGGAAGCAGUGGGGAAUUUUGGACAAUGGGCGAAAGCCUGAUCCAGCCAUGCCGCGUGAGUGAAGAAGGCCUUCGGGUUGUAAAGCUCUUUCAGACGGAAAGAAGUGGCUUCGGUGAAUAUCCGAGGUCGAUGACGGUACCGUAAGAAGAAGCACCGGCUAACUACGUGCCAGCCGCCGCGGUAA
rnacentral:rRNA from 1 species